rnacentral:rRNA from 1 species
UGGGGAAUAUUGCACAAUGGGCGGAAGCCUGAUGCAGCAACGCCGCGUGCGGGAUGACGGCCUUCGGGUUGUAAACCGCUUUCGCCUGUGACGAAGCGUGAGUGACGGUAAUGGGUAAAGAAGCACCGGCUAACUACGUGCCAGCAGCCGCGGUGAUACGUAGGGUGCGAGCGUUGUCCGGAUUUAUUGGGCGUAAAGGGCUCGUAGGUGGUUGAUCGCGUCGGAAGUGUAAUCUUGGGGCUUAACCCUGAGCGUGCUUUCGAUACGGGUUGACUUGAGGAAGGUAGGGGAGAAUGGAAUUCCUGGUGGAGCGGUGGAAUGCGCAGAUAUCAGGAGGAACACCAGUGGCGAAGGCGGUUCUCUGGGCCUUUCCUGACGCUGAGGAGCGAAAGCGUGGGGAGCGAACAGGCUUAGAUACCCUGGUAGUCCACGCUGUAAACGGUGGGUACUAGGUGUGGGGUCCAUUCCACGGGGUUCCGUGCCGUAGCUAACGC